rnacentral:rRNA from 1 species
UAACACAUGCAAGUCGAGCGGUAGAGAGAAGCUUGCUUCUCUUGAGAGCGGCGGACGGGUGAGUAAUGCCUAGGAAUCUGCCUGGUAGUGGGGGAUAACGUUCGGAAACGGACGCUAAUACCGCAUACGUCCUACGGGAGAAAGCAGGGGACCUUCGGGCCUUGCGCUAUCAGAUGAGCCUAGGUCGGAUUAGCUAGUUGGUGGGGUAAUGGCUCACCAAGGCGACGAUCCGUAACUGGUCUGAGAGGAUGAUCAGUCACACUGGAACUGAGACACCGUCCAGACUCCUACGGGAGGCAGCAGUGGGGAAUAUUGGACAC